GACGAACGCUGGCGGCGUGCUUAACACAUGCAAGUCGAACGGAAAGGCCCUGCUUUUGUGGGGUGCUCGAGUGGCGAACGGGUGAGUAACACGUGAGUAACCUGCCCUUGACUUUGGGAUAACUUCAGGAAACUGGGGCUAAUACCGGGUAGGAGCUCCUGCUGCAUGGUGGGGGUUGGAAAGUUUCGGCGGUUGGGGAUGGACUCGCGGCUUAUCAGCUUGUUGGUGGGGUAGUGGCUUACCAAGGCUUUGACGGGUAGCCGGCCUGAGAGGGUGACCGGCCACAUUGGGACUGAGAUACGGCCCAGACUCCUACGGGAGGCAGCAGUGGGGAAUAUUGCACAAUGGGCGGAGGCCUGAUGCAGCAACGCCGCGUGCGGGAUGACGGCCUUCGGGUUGUAAACCGCUUUCGCCUGUGACGAAGCGUGAGUGACGGUAAUGGGUAAAGAAGCACCGGCUAACUACGUG
rnacentral:rRNA from 1 species